UGUGGGAAGCUUGAUGCUGUUUAUCUGGGAAAAGAUUGACAAGGCAAAGGCAGAUGCUUUUGGGCCAGCAGUGGCUUCUGGUUUGAUUUGCGGGGAUGGGAUAUGGACUUUGCCUAGUGCGAUACUUGCUCUAGUAGGAGUAAAACCUCCCAUUUGCAUGAAGUUUUUGUCAAGGAGAACAAAUGCUAAGGUCGAUGCGUUCUUAGGGUCAUAAAGUCGAAGUUGAGAUCAACUUGAAUAGAAACUGUUAAGUAAAGCUGAAUUGCUUCCUAGACUAAGGUUAUGAAGUUUACAUGUGAAGUUCGACUCAAAAAUGCUGUGGAUAAUCAAUCACCUGCAAUUUCGUGGAGCCAACCACUAUUUUCGCUAUAAUCUUUUCUGGAGAAGAAAAUCAAAUGUCCAUUUACUUACAUAUGUUUGUAGUUUUUUUCUAGUCUAGUUUGAAGAAGAUAGUAGAACAGAUGCAUCAAGCAAUGUGAAAAGUGAAAAUUACAGUACCCUUUGUGAGCUGUUAUGAUCAGUUGCUAUAUUUGGUAUCAGUUUGCUCAUUUUGCUAGCUAUCAUAUAUCAGGUGGUCCGAUGUGGCAUUGGAAUGGCCUUCUAGUUGUUAGCAGUCUCACAAUAAAAUCAUGCCAGACUUAGUCAUCCAACACGAGAAAAAAAAAAAGAUGGAAAAAAUAUCAGAUGCGUCGAGGAAGACGAUAAAAGCUUCAGCGAAUGAGACUUGUAACAAAUAUUUUACCUAGGUGUUUCCUAAUAAUAUGAAAAGAAGCUGAAAAAUAGAUAAGCAUUCCCGUAGUGAUCUUAAUGGCAUCUAAGCCCAGAGUGAGUGAAGUACAUAAAGAGUGCAACUAUAUUCAUAGUUAAUUAUCAUAGAAUCCUCAACUCUCCAUCUUGCUGUUGUUAUGAUUUGUUUAUAACUCAUCUUCAAUCUCAUGCUUUGUAAGGCAAGAUCCUGCAUUGUUUUUUAGAGAUAAGUUUAAAUUAAAUAACGUUAUAUUUUAUAUAUAUAAUAUAAAGAUUACAAACUCAAUCAUUUGGAUUAUUUUGUGACUGUAGUGUGUUUAAAAAUAUAACAGUAAGUAAUUCCUGUUCUAGAAAAUUUUAAAAUAAUAUAUUUUUUUUAUUUUAAAAAAUGUAUUUUUCAUAUUAGUAUAUUAAAAUAAUUAAAAAAUAUUAAAUAAAAAGUAAUUUAAAACACAGACAGGUUAAAACUCACUGCAACGACCCGUUUUAACUCCUCCUCAUGUUCGUCUUCAAUUCGGAUGUGUUGAGCAAUAAUCACAGCCACUUAUUAAACACGCUCCCAACUCUCUUCGUCUCCAUAAAGAAUCAUUCUUUUAAGAAAAUAAAAUGGAACGUAAUGAAAGAGACGACACCAAGGUAGAGAAUGAUUAUGAUUUGGAGGAUGAUCAUGGUCACAGAAAGAAGGACAAGAAAGAGGAACAAGAAGAAGAGUUGUCAGUGGAAAGAAUAUUUGAGAACCAAGAAGUGCCAUCAUUGGAGGAAUCAGCUGACACUGAGGGCCUUUGUGGUGAGCUUCGUGUUGAGCAUUUUAUUCAGCGUCAUAGUAAUGAAGCUCAAUCUUACAACUGGUAUCAUACCUUCCCUCAAUGUCUCUGCUGGCCUUCUGGGCUUCUUUUUUAUCAAGACCUGGACAAAGUUUCUUGAAAAGUCUGGACUUUUGAAGCAACCCUUUACGAGGCAAGAGAACACUGUAAUACAGACUUGCGUGGUUGCCUCAUCUGGCAUUGCCUUUAGUGGUAUACUUUCUGUACUGUUUACUAUCAUUAAUUUUCAUUUCAUCUCUCUUAAUUAUUUUGAAAUUCAAUUUUUUUUUCUCUUUUCUUUCGAAGUUGAGGAGAUAUCUAGGUUUCUUUUAUCAAGAUAUUAAUAUUUCUGUGCAUUUGGUUUUGUUUCUGUUCUUAAAGGUUGCAAACUUACAAUAGUUACUAAAAUUCGAUGUCAAGAUUUCCAUCUUCUAAUUGCUAGAUUACCUGAUGAGGCAACCACUUUUACUAGAGUAAUCAACACUUAAACUUACCAUUAGAGACAUGAACAAAUCUAUCUCUGUCUCCUGGAGUGUGAUAAUGUUAGGGGUGCAGCUGGUAUGUCACUUGACAGAUACUUUUUUGACAGUUCAAUUCAUAUGCGCUGGAUGUGGAUGACUUCCUAAGUUCAGAUUUAUAUCAGCAAGUCUUAUAACAAUAUUCUGAUUUGUGGAAAAAGAAGUCUUCUCCAUUAGUAAAAGAAAGGAAAAUGUGAAUAAUAUAUGUUUCUAGAAUGCUAGUUGUGAGCUUGCGUUAUUAAUCAAACAUCUUCUCAAACUGUGAAUCAUUAACAUAAUGUCAAGAUGAAUACAUUAUAUUUCUAACUCGUCCAAAUAGUCAAGAAAAGCCUGAUUACUUGCCAAACUUGUUUCGAAACUGAAUUAAUUAUUGUCAUGAAACGGUUAAUUUGUGAUUAUGCUUAUGAUGAUAUUAAACUUGUUGAUUUUUGUACUAAUGGUUUCCAUUCUAUAAUUUUUUCCUUGUUUCCUUAUAAUAGGAGGCUUUGGGAGUUAUCUGUUUGGAAUGAGUGAAACUGUGGCCAAACAAUUAACUGAAGAUAGUGAUGCCUUUAAAAAUCCAUCUCUGUCUUGGAUGAUUGGCUUUUUGUUUGUCGUUAGCUUUCUUGGGCUCUUUUCGGCGGUGCCUCUACGAAAGGUAGACUUUACAACUUAUAUCAGCAUUCAAUUUCUUUAUAUGAUUAUAGAAAAUAGAAAACUUUUUUUUGCAUUUUACAUUUUUGCCGAAUGUAUAGAUUUUCCAAAAAUUAAUCCUCAUUGUUACCCUGGUUAUUUCCAGGUCAUGAUUAUAGACUUCAAAUUGACAUAUCCAAGUGGCACUGCAACUGCUCAUCUCAUCAACAGCUUCCACACUCCUGCAGGAGCCAAGCUAGCAAAGUAAGGCGUUAUCAGACCUCAUGCACUUAUAGUUGGAUGAUCAUUUGACAUGUAAGAGUAUUGAACUUUGUUAUUCUACUGUUACAGGAAACAAGUGAGAGUGUUGGGCAAGUUCUUCUCAUUCAGCUUCUUGUGGGGUUUCUUUCAAUGGUUCUACACUGCAGGAGAUGGUUGUGGAUUUGCUGAGUUCCCCUCGCUUGGUCUUAAAGCACAUGAAAACAAGUAAAAGCAUUACUCAACCUUCCAAAAUCCUCUCUUCUUGUUGAAUGUAGUUCCAUUUACUAUGGCAUUCUGUUUCAAAUUCGUUGUGGUAUCUUUGACUAAUAAUGUUCUUGUUACAUGUACAGAUUUUUCUUUGAUUUCUCAGCAACAUAUGUUGGAGUUGGAAUGAUUUGCCCCUACAUCAUAAACAUAUCAGUUUUGCUUGGAGGAAUUCUUUCCUGGGGUCUCAUGUGGCCUCUCAUAGAUACAAAAAAGGGUGACUGGUAUCCAGCAGACCUCAAACCAGGCAGCUUGCAUGGCCUCCAAGGUUACAAGGUAAGUUUUCUAACAAGGUUAAGGUGACAAGAAUGCCAAUUACAUGAUUUUUAACAUUUUCUUGAAGCCUUUUCUUUCAUACCAACACUUAAGCAAUGAACACAGGUAUUUAUUGCCACUGCCCUGAUCUUGGGUGACGGUCUAUACAACUUCUUCAAGGUUCUAAGCCGAACACUCGCUGCAUUGUUUUUUCAACUUCGUGGGAGAGAUGCAACUGGUGCUCUGCCUAUUGCUGACCGUUCCUCUCCCAAGACAUCCAGGAUCUCCUAUGAUGAGCAACGUCGCACCCAACUCUUUCUCAAAGAUCAAAUUCCAACAUGGUUUGCUUUUGCAGGUUAUGUCACAAUUGCUGCCAUUUCUACAACCACCGUUCCGCAUAUAUUUCCCGAACUAAAAUGGUAUUACAUAUUGGUUAUCUACAUCUUUGCCCCAGCCCUUGCAUUCUGUAAUGCUUAUGGUUGUGGACUCACUGAUUGGUCCCUUGCUUCCACCUAUGGGACGCUUGCUAUUUUUGUAAUUGGGGCGUGGGCUGGUGCCUCUCAUGGUGGAGUUCUUGCAGGACUAGCGGCCUGUGGAGUCAUGAUGAAUAUUGUCUCCACAGCCUCUGAUCUAUCUCAAGAUUUCAAGACUGGUUAUUUGACCCUUUCUUCACCUCGGUCCAUGUUUGUGAGCCAGCUAAUUGGCACUGCAAUGGGUUGCAUGAUUUCCCCGUGUGUAUUUUGGCUUUUUUUUAAGGCCUUCAAGGAUCUGGGGACUCCUGGAAGUCAAUACCCUGCUCCUUAUGCUACUGUAUUUCGAAACAUGGCUAUAUUGGGGGUAGAAGGAUUCUCCUCUCUCCCAAAGAAUUGUCUCUAUCUUUGUUAUUGGUUCUUCGGUGCAGCAAUUCUGAUAAAUUUGAUCAAGGAUGUGUUGGGUAAGAAACGGGCUAGGUUCAUUCCCAAUCCAAUGGCAAUGGCUAUACCUUUCUAUAUUGGCUCAUACUUUGCCAUCGACAUGUGCGUGGGAAGCUUGAUUCUAUUUAUCUGGGAAAAUAUUGACAAGGCAAAGGCAGAUGCUUUUGGGCCAGCAGUGGCUUCUGGUUUGAUUUGUGGGGACGGGAUAUGGACUUUGCCUAGUUCGAUACUUGCUCUAGCAGGAGUAAAACCUCCCAUUUGCAUGAAGUUUUUGUCAAGGAGAACAAAUUCUAAGGUCGAUGCGUUCUUGGGGUCAUAAAUUUGAAGUUCAGAUCAACUUCAAAAGAAACUGUGAGUUAGAGCUGAAUUGCUUCCCAGACUAAGGUUAUGAAGUUUACAUAUGAAGUUCGACUAAAAAAUGCUGUAGAUAAUCACCUGCUAUUUGUGGAGUCAGCAACUAGUUUCUCUAUAAUCAUUUCUGGAGAAGAAAAUCAAAUGUCCAUUUACUUAUAUAUGCUUGUUAGUCGAUCCUUGGAAAUAUGCUUGUAGUUUUUUUCUUGUCUAUUUUGAAGAAGAUAGUGGAACAGAUGCAUCAAACAAUGUGCAAACGGAAAAUCACUGUACCCUCUGUGAACUUUAAACAUAAUAUCAAAAGUGAAUGUGCAAAUAUUACAGGUUGCAGGCAUGUUUAUUUUGAACAUAUUGCAAUUAUCGUUGUUGAUUUCUUCUUCCUUGUUCGUAUCCGACCUUCCAGAAUCACACCCAAGACCGCUGUUGUUAUCCUGGGUUGCUGCUCUACUGCCUUCAAUUCCUCAGCUGUUGUUUUGCUGUUUGAUGUUAUCACAGCUUUUGCACCAGUAUGUAUUAUCUUUGGAUUUUACUCAAUCUGGUAAGGUUAUGAUCAGUUGCUAUAUUUGGUAUCAGGUUUGCUCAUUUUGCUGGCUUUGGUAUCAGGUGGUCCAACGUGGCAUUAGUAUGGCCUUCCGGAACUGCUGUGUUCUUAUCAGUCUCUCACAAUAAAACCAUGCCAGAAUUAGUUACCCAACAGGGAAAAAAACAGGAAAGAAAAAAAAAAAAAACAUCAGAUGCAUCGAGAAAGACGAUAAAAGCUUCAGCGAUGAGACUUGUAACUAUCUAAACAGCCGAUCAAAUAAGUUUGAAGUGAUUGCUUGUGUAAUGAUUAUCUUAUUUUAUCUAGGUUUGUCCUAAGAAUAUGAAAGGAGUUGCAAAUAGACAAGCAUUGCUGUAUUUUUAAUGGCAUCUAAGCCGUAGGAGUAAGUGAACUGCAUAAACAGGUUAUCAUUUGGAUCAAACGUUGAUUUUGAAAAUAUCCUAAAAAUAAUUUUAUUUAUUUUAGUUAAACAAAUUUAAAUUAAAAUAAACACAUAAAUAAGAGCUCAUAAAAAUAACUCAGAAGCCUUAGCCUACUGACCCAACUUUGGCUAAAUAACACCAGGCUAGGCAUGCAUCGCAAUGGUAUGAAUACAUUUUCAAGUAUUAAGAUUUUGUUAAUUAAAAAAAGCAAAAAUAUUGUUUAUAUUUAAUAAAAUAAAUAUAAAAAAUUAUGAACCAAUAAUCUAAGAAAGAGCUUAUUCUAAUUAUAAAAUAAAAUAGAAAGAUAAUCUUUCCCUUAAGAGCAAAAGUGUAUAAAUAUACUUUUUUUUUAAUUUAUAUAUAUAUAUUUUAAUUUAUUUUAUCUUAGUUGUUGCUCUUACCAACAACAAAUGGCUUAUAUUUUUAUAAAUAAAUCAUGCAAAUACAAUUUAUUUUUAUAAAAUAUAAAAGAAACAAAAAUUAAAGAUAAAUUACAAUAAUUUCUUUGAAACAUUAUAAGAAUACCAAAAAAAAAGCAAAAAAAUAUAUUUAAGAAAUCUGAACUAAACUAUUUUAAAAAAUAAAAGAGAAUGUAUUAAUUAAAAUUCAAAUAAAAAAUAAUGCAAAGAAUAAAAGUACAUAAAAAAGGGUAUUAAUGAAAAAAGAAAACAAGAGAAAAUUAAAAGAAAAAAAAAGAAGAAGAAGAAGAGCAAAUCAUACUAGGUCUUGCAAGCUACCAAAAAGCCCAGCUAUUUUUUUUUAGUUGUUCGUUCCUUUAUUAUUUUUUUUAUACUAAAUUAUGAUAGUGUUUGUUUUUAUGAUAAUAUCAUAUUUUUUAAAAAUAAUUAAAAAAAAAUGUUUUAAAUUAAUUAAUUAAUUAUAUAUAUAUAUAUAUAUAUAUAUAUAUUAUUGAUUGUUUUGGUAUGCUAUCAUCAAAAAUAAUAUUUUAAUAUAUUUAUAAGUAAAAAUAUUUUAAAAAACAACCACUAUCAUAAUACCAAAUAUUAUCAACAAGUAUUUUGUUACGGGGAUGAUUUAUUAUCAUCUAAAUUAUUUUCUAGUUAUCUCUGGAAAUAAAAUAAAAAAUCAGUUUUAGAACCCCAAAAGUUUAUUUUUGUUGAAAUUUAUCCAAAUAUUUGGCAAAAAAAUUGUCAGAAGGUGCAUUUUUUAACACUAAACCCCAAAAAACCCUGCAUUGUUUCCUCUUUUAUCAAAUCUGGUCCCUAAAGUUUUUGUUUUAGCAUGCAACGUAACAAGAUUAAUUUGUUUUUGCAAAAUCAAGCAUGGACCAAAUAUGUUAGUAAAAGUUUAAAAGAAUAAUAAUAAAAAUAAAAAUGUUCACAGCGCAUCUGCUCACAAUCCACAUAGUAAUCCUAAACCCCUGGAGGUUUUUUUUUUUUUUUAAUGUGUUAAGUGAUAAGUAGUUAAAUAUAAGUUUAGAACUAUUAAAAGAUUAGUCUAGAAUGAAAAGAAUAAUCAGCACGUCAUUUCAUAUAAGACUAUUGUACGAUUUUUUAAAAAUAUAUAAAAAUAAAAUUGCUCUUUGUCCGAAGAUUAGAGUCUUUCAAAUAUGCUUCGUUCAUGUUCUCAAUAAAUCCCUCGUGUGAAUAUUUAGUCUUAUGAUAGCUAGCAGGUAGCUUGCGUUUGAUUUUUUGUUGUCUACCACUAACUUGCUUGACUGUCUUAAUUUAAUAUCUGCCAUCGAUUUCCAUAAAUGGUAAUAUAAGAGAACAAAAGGAUCAUAUAUGGGCUGCUUGCUGUUAUAGUAAAUUAAGGGCACGUGGAGACUACAUUAUUUUACGAAGAGGCCUCUGUUUGUUUUUCAGUGUGGACUCCAAGUGAAAAUACUGUGGAUUUGCAUGGUGUUUUUAUUUUUUUUAUUCUAUUAUCAAACUUUAUCAUUUUUAACUUCUUUAAUUUGUGUUCAUCGGUGAUUUGGCCUCGUAACUUAUUUCGUGCUACUAAUUUUAAGGUCUCGGUGGUCUUUUAAAAAAUAAAAAUACUAACCUCUUUUUGAAAAACAAAAUGCGUCAAUGCCUUUUUGGAAAAUUUAGGCUUGGGAUUUUGUCAAAUUUUAUUUUUCAUUUAGUCUGAAUAUUAUACAAGUCAGUCCAAUGCUUCAUUAUUUUUAUAUUUUAGUUUCUAAACUGAGAGGAGAUACAGUUGUCCAAAAACAAUAAAAAAGAGAAACAUGAUGGUUGUUCUAACUUAAUUAACAAAAAUAAUCAAAUUUGAUAUUAAAGUGUUUAUCUUGACAAGAAAAAUAUUAUUAAAGUGUUUUUAAACUUUUAUAUAAGGGUUGAGAGAGGUUUUUUGUUUUCAAUUUAUUUUUAAAUCAAUUUAGAUCUAUUUGAGCUGGGAAAUUAGUUUUUUAAGGCUAUACUAAUAUUUUUCAAGAGUUUCUAGGUGGGUUUAGGUUGAAAAUUGAUUUUUUGACUAAAAAAUUAUACAACUUGAUUUUUUGACCGUUUCUAUUUUUAUAAUGGUUAAAAUUUAGAUUUACAUCUGACACGUUAUCUACUUAUUAAUCACACAGGCCCACACUUGUAAUUUACUUUUUGAAAAAAUAUUUUUUUAACAAUAUUUAUUUUCUAAAAAAAGUCAUUGAUUCAAAAUAUAAUAUAAAUAAUUUCGGUUAAAUUCUUAGAUUUAUUAAGAAUGUCAUUUUAGAUAUUAUUUUAAUAGAUUCCAUUUAAUUUUUGUGUUGUUCUUGAACAAUCAUUAUUUUUAAAAAAUUCAUUUUAAUUAUUUUUUUAUUUAUUUGCUUGCUAUCAUAUAAUUAAAUAAAAUAUAAAUUUUUUAAAUUCAAUUGGACCCUAACUUAUGACCUAUAUUAAAAGUUUGAUAAGUUAAUUAAGAUUAAUAUGAUAUAUUACAGCUUUAAUAUUAAGAAAAUAAGGAUGUUGUUUUGAAAAAAACAUUUUAAUCAAAUCAUUAUUUUAAUAAUUUUUUAAGUUUUUUUUAUAUGGAUAAAAAUAAUCAAGUCAUAUCAAAUUAAUUAUUUAAUUUAAACUUGAGAUUGAUAAAGAUUCGAAUAAGAAGAUUUCAACCUAGAUGAAUUGAAUUGUGUGUAAUGAGACUUACAAAGUGUUUCUUUUAAUAACAUGCGACCUUUGAAAUGAUGAUUGAAUACUGUCUAAUAAAUAAAUGGUCUAGUGGAAUUUAAAAACAAAAAGUAGCACAUUAAUGAGACAAAUGAGUUUUAGUUAGAUAACUGUAUUUUUUAUUUUUAUUAAAAUCAUCAGGAUUUUUUUUUCCGGGUAUAUAUGUGGAAAGCUUUUAAUUUUUACUAAAUAAAUGACAUAGAAAAAAUGUUAUGUUUUUAAAAAAUUAAAGAUAAUAAUUAGAAUAUUUUUUCCAUUACUCUUCUUAUAAAAAAUAUUUAUGCCCUAUAAUUAAGUUAAAAAUAAUUAAAAAAAUUCACAGCAAAUGAUCAAAUAUUUUUAUUGCGUUUAUCUCUUUUCUUCACAAACUAGUUUUUAGUUAAUAUUAAAAUAUAUUUUAGCAUUUAUAAUUUUUAAUCUAUUUAAUUAAACAUAUCCAUCAAAUUUUAAGUUAAGAAAUAAGAUUUUUCUUUAGCUAGCAUUAAAACCUCUUAACUAGAUUAUUCCAUGUUGGAUAUUAUUACAAACAAUAUGAAUAGUUCAUCUCCUACAUCAGUUUGUUAUAUUUAACAAAAAUAAUAAUAAUUUUUGUUAGAUAUGAAUCUAAAAUUUAAAAUAAAAGAAAAUCAACAAAUUAAUAAAAUAUUCUUCCUUAACUGUGAGUUUAAUUAUUGGGGAUUUUUUUAUUCUCCAAUUAAUAUUGUGCAAGAAUCCUAGCUAGCAAAUAUUAUGGAAAUUAAGUUGAACAGUCGAAGGUUUGGUACAGCCAUGAUUUUUCGUUGGCUGCGGUGGCCAUGGACAAAUAUAGCAAGCUCCUCAAUUUCCAUUUUUGCAGGCUUUGAAUAGUAGAUUUCUGGCUGGACCAUCCAUCUUCUUUCCCACAUGUAUCAAGUCAAAAGAUACCUUUUAUAAGAUCAUGUUUAGUCUAUUCUUUAUUAUUUUUCGUACUUUACGGCCGCAUUUAGUCUUUGCAUGCACAAUUUUAAGAUUUAGGGUUUAUUUUUUUAUUAUAGGCCAGUUGUUUUCCCAUAUAUACGUCAAGACCUAUUUAAUUCAUUGCAGAAAUAACUUUGAUUUGUUUUUUCUAAACAUAGAAGAGUAAAAGCCUCUGCAUCCCUGUAGUUGUUGUUAUUUUUUAAAGUAAUUUUAAUUGAAAAAUAUAUUAAAAUAAUUUUUUUUUUAAUUAAGGUAGUCAUUUUCUUUAGUUAGAGCUAAUAUAUAAUCUAUUUUGAUAGAAAUAUCUAGGACACAUUGAUUUGAUUUUUAAUGAUUAAAAUCUCUUUUGACAUAGUCAGUGCAUAGUUAUAAUGUUUUACGUAGUUUUUUUUUUCAAAAAAUAGAUAGUUAAUAGCAAUACAAUUAAAACAUUUGAGGUGGUGGAAGUGUGGAACAAUGAACCUUUUGAAGCAAUCCCUUACUGGGAAGAUGACACUUUUAUCAAGACUUGGACAAAGUUUAAUUAAAAAGAGAAAGAAGUCAGUUAUUUCAAUUCAGUUGACAAAAUAACCAAACCCGAUGUAAAAGUAUUCAUUAGGAUUAAUAUUUUUAUUUAGUUAGCAUUAAAACCUCCUAUCCAAAUGAGGCCCAAGUUGGAUACUAAAACGUUUGAUUUCCUAAUUUUCUUUCAAAUAUAAGGAAUAUUCUCAUAUCACCUUGCUUAUAUAUUUAUCAAAACUUUUUGUUUUUACAAACAAUAUUAAAAGCAGGGGCAGAACAAAAAAAAUUAAAAGAGAUCAAAAUAUUAGUUAUUUUAUUAUUUAAGCUAAAUAUAUUAAUAUUAUAAAAGGAGGGGCUGAAAAAAUAAAUUUCUUGUAGGGGUCCCUUGAUUAAGGGUGCAUGUCAUACAUCAAUUUGUUAUAUUAAAAAAGAUUAAUAAAUUUUCUUAUAUAUAUCAAUACUAAAAAUUAAACUCAAAAAAUCAAAAAAUAAAACAUACUUCCAUAACGGUGAGUUUAAUUAUUGGGGUUCUUGAUUUGUCAAUAUUGUGCAAGAAUCCUAGCUAGCAAAUAUUAUAGAAAUUAAGUUGAACAGUGAAGGUUAGGUGCAGCCAUGAUUUUUCGUCGGGCGCGAUGACCAUGAGAAUACCACUACUAGUCUAAAGUAAAUUAUUGGGAUUUUUAAAAUCAAUCUUUCCACCGUGGUUUUUUUUUUUUUAAAAAAAAAAGGUUAAAUCAAGACCUUCUCGUAAGUCAGAGAUAAUAUAACCUAUCAUGAUAGAAAUAUCUAGAACAUUGAUUUUAAUUUUAAUAAUAUAUUAAAAUUUCUUUUCACUUAGUCAGUGGAUGGUUAUAAUUUUUUUUUAAUUAGUAGUAUUUGUUUUUCAAGUGUGUGUAUAUAUAUAUAUAUAAAAAGGAAAUUGAAACCAUUAAUUUUAAAUUUUAAAAUGAAUUAAUCUAAUAUGAUCAAACUACCGCAUUAAUCCAAUAAGAAUUUUAAAUAUUGGUUAAAAAGAGUUCUAAAUAGAAAUUCUUUUAGACUAAGAAAUCUUCCUCUAAUUUAAUUAGGAAUCCUUCUUCUACAAUUCAAUUCAAUAUACCAAAUAAAAUGACAUUGAAUUUAUUUUCCACGAAUAAGACUCAAGUUUAGAUGCACAAAACAUAAUUCUCGACCAAAAAAUAGUGUAGUAAGAGUUCAGCUCAACAAUUAAGCAUGUCCAACUCAACCGAAUGGCUUGAUUCCAAAAAUUCACAAAUCUAAAUAAUGCUAUUUCUUUUCCUGCAUAAAUCCUUAUAUCACUUUCGGAUCUGGACUUUGUAAGCGUGGCAGCCAAGUCAACAGUCAAUGGGCUCAUUUAAGGUGAAAAUCUUUAAAUCGACAUAUCAAAAUGAAUUGUGUGUUCAGAUUGAAGAUAUGAUUGGUUUUUUUAAAAGAUAUAGUUUUUUAAAAGUAUAAAUUAAUUAAAUCUAACAAAAAUAAAAAAUACAUAUUUUUUAUGUGGGUCUCACAAAAAAUACCAUAUAUAUCUCUAAGCCAAACACCCUUAGAAACCAUUGAAAUCAUGAAAUGGUCUUAUUGGUUUCAAUUUUCCAAACAUCUUUUAUAUAUAUGUAUAUAUAUAUAUAUAUAUAUAAUCAUUGAGUAUAUAUUAAAAAGUUUAUAAAACUAAAUAAAAAUAAAAUACAAGGACAUAAAAAAAAAACUCAAAUGGCAAGAAAAAGUUGUCCAGACACAAUUUUCUAGAAACCUUAAAUAAGGGCAUUGAUCAAAUUUGUCCCCGAUGACAAAUAAACUCCCAAUAUAGCACUUAUUUGGCCUUUUAAGACUUUUCAUAUCACGACUAAUUCUUAAUCGGGUGGUUCACUUUAAGUGGUGUAGCAAUUACAGUUAAAUUCGCUUAAUGGCCUUUAAGACUUUUCAUAGAAGGCCAUUAAUACUCAACUAAUUGAGUUCUGUUUUUUUUUUUUAAAACAAAACUGUUUUAAUUUUUUUUUUUAAUAAAGAGUUAAUCUAGAUUGAACUGUAGAGACACCAGUUUUGACCCCCCCCUGGUGAGACAAGUACUUUUGUCGAGCAAUAAUCACAGCCACCUUAUUUAACACUCUCCCAACUUUCGUAGCUUCCGCAAAGAAUUUUUUUUUUUAAGAAAAGAAAAUGGAACGUAAUGGCAGAGAUGACAUCGAGGUAGAGAAUGGUUAUGAUUUGGAGGAUGAUCAUGGUCACAGAAAGAAGGACAAGAAAGAGGAACAACAAGAAGAGUUGUCAGUGGAAAGAACAUUUGAGAAUCAAGAAGUGCCAUCAUGGAGGAAUCAGCUGACACUGAGGGCCUUUGUGGUGAGCUUCGUGUUGAGCAUUUUGUUCACCGUCAUAGUAAUGAAGCUCAAUCUUACAACUGGUAUCAUACCUUCCCUCAAUAUCUCUGCUGGCCUUCUGGGCUUCUUUUUUAUCAAGACCUGGACAAAGUUUCUUGAAAAGUCUGGCCUUUUGAAGCAACCCUUUACGAGGCAAGAGAACACUGUUAUCCAGACCUGUGUGGUUGCCUCCUCUGGCAUUGCCAAUAGUGGUACACUUUCUGUACUUCUUACUGCCAUUAAUUUUCAUUUCAUCUCUCAAUUAUUCUUAAAAUCAUUUUUUUUCUCUGUUCUUUCUGAGGUGAGGAGAUAUCUAGGCUUCUUUGAUCAAGAUAAUAUUUCUAUGCAUCUGGUUUUGUUUCUGUUCUUAAUUGUUGCUAAAUUCAAGUAGUUGCUAAAAUUCAAUGCCAAGUUUUCCUUCUUCUAAUUGGUAGAUUACAAGAUGAGGCAGCCGGUUUUUUCUCUCUGUCCCUUUCAUCUCAGAUGUGAGAUCUUUGAAGACAAUAAUUUCUUACUGCCUAAAGUCUUUGAGAGACAAAUCAAAAUUGAGGUUUUAUGACUAACAUUGUGCUAUUGUUUCAGCCACUCGUUACUAAACUACUCAACACUUGAACUUGCUGUUAGAGACAUGAACAAAUCUACCUUAGUGAAAAAGUUUGAUGAGUGUCUUCUUUAAAUGAUCUGUAAAUUUUCUUUACUAGCUUCCUCCCCGUCUCCUGGAGUGUGAUAAUGGUGUUGGGGGUGGCUGCUUUUUAUUUUUCAUCUAGUGUUUUUUAUGCAGGCAGAAGCAUAAAGACAGUUCAACAAUUACAGAGAAGACAAAUUUGUUGAGCGAAAAGAACUGCAAGCUUGAUCUCUAAAUUUACAAAAUAAUAUCAUAACCUUAAAAUAUAAAAGAAAAUAACAUAAAAUUCAAGAGAACACAAAAAAAUCCAGGAAAUGAAGGAAAAGUUUCUAUAUUAGAUCUUCCAAGUCUAAUUUCAAUAAAUUUGUAUAGUGGAUAAACUACAAAAAGAGGAUUUUUCAUGGAACUUUGGUCUAGAAAUUUCUUGUAAAUUACAAAUUUAAGUCUGAUUCAACUCGAAUCAAGAGUUAUAGUUGUUUUAAGUAACUAUGCAAAUCUCGCUAAAUCAAAUUUUUUUUUAGGGCUGACCCUAUCUUACUGUACAUAAAAAUAUAUGUUAAAUCAUACAUAUAGUUUUUAGCUGUGAACUGCUAAAAACUUUUAGUUUUGGGUGACAUGUCAGCAUCAGUUUUCUUGGGUUUCUAAUGCCCCACCGGGCAUAAAGUGCGACUGGCUGAGAUGGUUAACUUACUAAGUUCAAAGUUAUAUCUGUAAGUCUUAAAAUAAUAUUUUGAUUAGUGGAAAAACAAGCCUUCUCCAUUAGUAAACGAAAAGAAAACGAGAAUAAUUAAUCAACCCUUUUACUGUAGAUUUUCCUAUGUUGAACUUGUUCAUUGACCGAGAAUCAUUAACAUAAUGUCAAGAUGAAUACGCUAUAUUUCUAAAUAGUCAAGACAAGAUUAAAUGCCAAACUUGUUUUGAAACUGAAAUUGUUGUGAUAAAACAGUUAAUUUGUAUGAUCAUGUUGAACUCGUUGAAUUUCGUACUAAUGGUUUCCUUACAAUAGGAGGCUUUGGGAAUUAUCUGUUUGGAAUGAGUGAAACCGUGGCCAAACAAUCAACAGAUUAUAGAGAUGCCUUUAAAAAUCCAUCUCUGUCAUGGAUGAUUGGCUUUCUGUUUGUUGUUAGCUUUCUUGGACUCUUUUCAGUGGUGCCUCUUCGAAAGGUAGACUUCUCCACCUCUAUAACCAUUCAAUUUCGUCAUGUGAUUAUUGGAAAUAGAACACUUUUCUCUGCAUUUUCCGUUCUUGUCGACUGUAUUGAUUUUGCCAAAAUCUAAACUUCAUUGUUACCCUGGUUAUUUCCAGGUCAUGAUUGUAGACUUCAAAUUGACAUAUCCAAGUGGCACUGCAACUGGUCAUCUCAUCAACAGCUUCCACACUCCUACAGGGGCCAAGCUAGCAAAGUAAGGCAUUAUCAGAUCUCAUGCACUUAUAGUUGGAUGAUCAUUUGGCAACUAAAAGUAUCGUACUUUGUUUUUCUACCAUUGCAGGAAACAAGUGAGGGUGCUGGGCAAGUUCUUCUCAUUCAGCUUCUUGUGGAGUUUCUUUCAAUGGUUCUACACUGCAGGAGAUGGUUGUGGAUUUGCUGAGUUCCCCUCACUCGGUCUUAAAGCAUAUGAAAACAAGUAAAAGCAUUACUCCACCUUCAAAAAAUUUAUCAUCCUACUGAAUGUAGUUCAAUUUAUAUUGCCAUUGUGUUUCAAAUUCGUUGUGGUAUCUUUGACUAAUGAUGUUCUUGUUACACGUACAGAUUUUUCUUUGAUUUCUCAACAACAUAUGUUGGAGUUGGAAUGAUUUGCCCAUAUAUCAUAAACAUAUCAGUAUUGCUUGGAGGAAUUCUUUCCUGGGGUCUCAUGUGGCCUCUCAUAGAUACAAAAAAGGGUGAUUGGUAUCCAGCAGACCUCAAACCAGACAGCCUAAAUGGCCUCCAAGGUUACAAGGUAAGUUUUCUAACAAGGUUAAGGUGACAAGAGUGCCCAGUACAUGAUUUUUUACUUGUUCUUGAAGACUUUUCAAUCAUACCACCACUUAUGCAAUGUAUUCAGGUAUUUAUUGCCACUGCCUUGAUCUUGGGUGACGGUCUGUACAACUUCUUCAAGGUGCUAAGCCGGACACUCGUUGCCUUGUUUUCUCAACUUCGUGGGAGAAAUACAGUCGGUGCUCUCCUUGUUGCAGGCCGUUCUUCUCUCGAGAUCCCCACCGUCUCCUAUGAUGAGCAACGCCGCAACCAAUUCUUUGUUAAAGAUCAAAUCCCAACAUGGUUUGCUGUUGCAGGCUAUGUCGCAAUUGCUGCCAUCUCCACAGCCACCGUUCCGCGUAUAUUUCCCGAACUAAAAUGGUAUUACAUAUUGGUUAUCUACGUCUUUGCCCCAGCCCUUGCAUUCAGUAAUGCUUAUGGCUGUGGCCUCACUGAUUGGUCCCUUGCUUACUCCUAUGGGACGCUUGCUAUUUUUGCAAUUGGGGCAUGGGCUGGUGCCUCUCAUGGUGGAGUUCUUGCAGGACUAGCGGCCUGUGGAGUCAUGAUGAAUAUCGUCUCCACAGCCUCCGACCUCUCUCAAGAUUUCAAGACUGGUUAUCUAACCCUUUCUUCCCCACGGUCCAUGUUUGUGAGCCAACUAAUUGGCACUGCAAUGGGUUGCAUUAUUUCACCUUGCGUCUUUUGGCUGUUUUUCAAGGGCUUCAAGGAUCUUGGGACUCCUGGAAGUCAAUACCCUGCUCCUUACGCUACUGUAUUUCGAAACAUGGCAGUAUUGGGGGUAGAAGGAUUCUCGUCUCUGCCAAAGAAUUGCCUCUAUCUUUGUUAUGGGUUCUUCGGUGCAGCUGUUCUGAUAAAUUUGAUCAAGGAUGCUUUGGGUGAGAAAUGGGCCAGGUUCAUUCCUAAUCCAAUGGCAAUGGCUAUACCUUUCAUUGUUGGCUCAUACUUCGCCAUCGACGCGUGUGUGGGAAGCUUGAUUCUGUUUUUCUGGGAAAAGAUUGACAAGGCAAAGGCUGAUGCUUUUGGGCCAGUAGUGGCUUCCGGUUUGAUUUGCGGGGAUGGAAUAUGGACUUUGCCUAGUUCGAUACUUGCUCUGGCAGGAAUAAAACCUCCCAUUUGCAUGAAGUUUUUGUCAAGGGGAACAAAUACUAAGGUCGAUGCGUUCUUAGGGUCAUAAAGU
rnacentral:lncRNA from 1 species